GAUGGAUGUUCUUUACAUUUAAUCCCCUCGUCGGAAGCCUUGUACGUUAUUAGUCCGCCUAGAAUGCGGGCAACAUCCGCCUGUAGCUGGAAAUUUUGCCCUAUCCGGGGGCGAACAAUCAGCUGCUGCAUGCUAAAUCAUGCAGUCCACAGAUCAAACGCGGGUGGCCUGAAAAGGUUAAGAUAUGACCGUAGCAGCUCUGCGAAGAGCCUGAGUGACUAGUUCCGUAGGUGAACCUGCGGAAGGAUCAUUACCGAGAGGGGGGCUCACGCGCCCCAGGGGUUCUGCCCCGUACCUUUCCACCCUCUGCGUAUCUUCCAUUGUUGCUUUGGCGGGUCCCGGGGUCUAUGCCCCGGCGCCGCCCCUAUCAGGGGCUCGCGAGCGCCCGCCGGAGGCCUAUUACAAAUCUGGUUUAUCAGUGCCGUCUGAGUAUACGAAAAAUCAAUCAAAACUUUUAACAACGGAUCUCUUGGUUCUGGCAUCGAUGAAGAACGCAGCGAAAUGCGAUAAGUAAUGUGAAUUGCAGAAUUCAGUGAAUCAUCGAAUCUUUGAACGCACAUUGCGCCCCCUGGCAUUCCGGGGGGCAUGCCUGUUCGAGCGUCAUUACACCCCUCAAGCACGGCUUGGUAUUGGGUGCCCGCCCUUCCUUUGCGGGGGGGCGCGCCCGAAAUUUAGUGGCGGUCUCGGUGGACUUCAAGCGCAGUAAAUAUUUCGCUUUGGAAGGUUCCUGCCGGCGACCCAGCCAGCAAACUCGGUUUUACCUCGAAAAAUUGACCUCGGAUCAGGUAGGGAUACCCGCUGA
rnacentral:rRNA from 1 species